CCAUGCAUGCUAUAAAUGGAUAUGAAUCUAACUUGGACUGUUCGGAACACCUCUGUCCUAUACCGCCAGCCUCAGACGAGUUUAAGAGAGCUUUACGCCAGCUUCGUACAGAAGAGCGAGUCCCGCUUCAAUCGUUAAAAGGAGCCAACUCUUACAGCGUGCAGUCAGUCGACUCAUUGCCAGGCGCUCAUUUAGCAAUGGGAAAAAUCGAAUCACGGAGUUUAUACGAGGAAGAGGACUUUCAUAAUCCUACAGUUACGAUAACCAACGGUCAUUCGGGACAUGUGCACGUUAAAAACUCUCUACCGGUGUCCUUUAAUGGAAAAUACAAAGAUGGGUUUGGUGAAACGCCCAAGGAUAAGGAGAAACCGAAAGUUAAAAAACUUAUUACGAGUCGUUCCCCGAGACUCAAUGACCAUUCUGGACACCAUGCGGUCAUGCACGCACAAUUCAGAGACCCGAACCUUUUCACAGACGAGUUCCGCCGACGUUCUAUGAGCGAGUCGCAUGCCCAGAUGCGGAGGAAAGCGUUAGAACGCCAGGAAAAACGCAAUGCUCGAUUCGAACAAGGUGGAAGUGGGGAUAUACCACAUGUGCAUUGGGCAGAUUCCACGGGCGACAGUUUAACAUCGGAUUUAAGACGAAGGUCUUUUUCACACGGUUCCACGGGGUUGCCCAAUAAACCUAUAUUAAAAAAGAUAACGAACGGCGUCGCUUCCGAUUCUAAAUGCUGUGUUGAACAUUCAAACUUACUGGCUGUGGAUACCCGCUAUAUAUAAUGUGUUUUCCUAGAAUCAAAUGUGUCUUAUUACUUUUAGUAAAAAAAAAACUAUUUUGGUUGUGCCAGAAAACUAAUAUGAGAUAAUUGAUAUUUUGUGUAAAUGUAUCCUGCUAUCGCAUCCAGUGAUAUGUCAUCUUGAUAAACAGGAUCCGGUGUACUGGAGAGACAAUAACAUUACGAUUCAUUGACGAUAAUUGCUUUUCUGGAACGCUUGGGGCUACUGAAAUGGAUGGAUUGUUCGGGGUAAGUGUGUAAUAUUAAAUUUUUAAAGAUGGAACCGACAUUGUGGUCUGGAUAAUUUGUAAAGAAAAGUUUUUUUUGAAUACAAAUUAAUUAGUAUCGUUGUAGACAGAAUACUUCAUUAUUUAUAUUAAAAAACCCCAAAGAAAUUGUUUCAUCAGCAUUGGAAAUAGUACACCCGAGAGAUACGACGAUUUAAAAAAUACUCCCAAAAAACCCCGUCUUAUCAUCAGCAUUGGAAAUAGUACAUCCGGGAGAUACGACGAUUGAAAAAAGAAAAAAAAACCCAAAAACCCGAAAUUCCGUCUUAUCAUCAGCAUUGGAAAUAGUACACCCGGGAGAUACGACGAUUUAAAAAAAACCCCCAAAAACCAUCUUAUCAUCAACAUUGGAAACAUGACGAUUCAACUCUAAACCAAAGUUUGAUGGACAUGAAUUCAGUGUAUCGAUGUGGUAUGAACGCAUAUCCUGUCUAGUACAUGACACAGGGAUCGUAAAUUGGAAGAUCUAGAAGACAAUAAAUGCGUCUAGGUGGAUUUGUGAUCAAUUUGUCCAGGGUUUGAAAGAAAGAUGGCAGAUAAAAAGAUGUUGGUUGUUUUAUCGUAACAUAUCUGUUUUCUUGACUACAUUAAUUUCCACGAACAUGAGAAUGGCCGAUAUGUGUUGAUAGCAUUUGUAUGUGUUGGUGAAUGAUCUGCGCAGAUGAAUAUCUUCCGUAAACUGAUGUGUUAACAGGUAAUCCAGUCUGAACAGGUUAAUUGGCAAGAAUAUUUUGUGUAAGAAUAUUUUAUGCUAAAUAGUACUAGUGAAAACAUGUUUUUUUGUACUCUGUGCCAAUGAAUAUUAUUGACGUUAUGGUAUGUAGACGUGAACAAAAUGACGUUAUGGUAUGUAGGCGUGAACAAAAUGACGUUAUGGUAUGUAGCAGUGAACAAAAUGACGUUAUAACAUGUUUUUUAUGCUAUGUAGCAGUGAACAAAAUGACGUUAUAACAUGUCUUUAUGCUAUAUAGCAGUGAACAAAAUGACGUUAUAACAUUUUUUUAUGCUAUGUACCAGUGAACAAAAUGACGUAAUAACAUGUUUUUUUAUGCUAUGUAGAAGUGACAAAAAUAGUUUUGUGCUUUGUAUAGUAUGAUUAUUUUAUGCUAUAUAAUGGUGAAAAAGGGAUGUUAUGGUAUGUAGGAGUGAAAACACUAUUUUAUGUUACGUAGGUGUGUAAACAUGUUAUGUUACAAAUUUUAUGCUAUGUAGGAGGAAUGAAGCAAGAUUUCAUGCUAUGUAGGAGUGAAUCAAGAUUUUAUGUCAUGUAAUAGCGUAGAAAAACUAAUUGUGAAAAACUAAUAGCGAAAGAAAGAUGUUAGGGGUGAAUAAACUAUUUUAUGUUACGAAAGUGUGAAAACAUGUUAUGCUACAAAUUUUAUGCCAUGUAGGAGUGAAGCAAGAUUUUAUACCAUGUAAACCAGAAAAAAACCUAAAUAACGAACAGAAUGUAAUUGGAAAUAUAAUUUGAUGUUUAAUUCAGUGGUGGUGAUAUUGCGUGAUGGAUGUUAUUUUUGACAAUUUAAUUAAAUUAUUAUAACAUAUCAAUCUGUUGACAUAGUUGUAGUAUGAACAACAAAAUAAACAGGUCUUAAUACAAAUUCCAUGGCGUGAAUGUAACGUGUUUUGACUAGUGAACAGUUAGUAGCUAUCAAUUACUUGGUUGAAAUUAUAACGUACAUGUACGCAUGUGUAUUAUAUGUGAACAAUGUCAUAUUUAAAAUGAAA